CAGUGUCUGUCACUCCAGAGCUGUGCACUAGGAUGAAUGUGGGCAGUUUGAUGGAGUGGACUGAGCAUACACCCGAGGGUGAGACAGGGCACGUAUCUCCACAAGUGUCAUCAACUCUUUCUGGAAUUUAAGGCAGGCAUUGCUAACUGACUGCAAGGCAAUAGGACUGUAUCAGCCGGAUGAGGGCUGCCCAGCAGAGUCCAAGGGAGGCGGCAGGAUGCCAUCUGUCUGAGAGAAGACUCCAACAGAACCCUGGCAUAUUAGGAAGAUUUCUAAUAUGGAAAUAGGCACAGGAGAAUUUCAGAAGUCUCCUCAGGUCUUGCAGAGAUCUCAAGCCUUGGACAUUGCAAUUGUAAAAAGAUUUUGAUCUACUCAUGUCUCUUUAGUGAAUAUCUGACCAAACUAUUAUGAUUUUUCAUAAAUAAGGAAUAGUCUGCUGUCAGGAAUUGGACUUAACAAAUCAGCUAAUGUAAGUUUCCAGACCUUGCAGGACAAAUAAAAAUAUGCCACAGACAGUGUA